rnacentral:rRNA from 1 species
AUUGAACGCUGGCGGCAGGCCUAACACAUGCAAGUCGAGCGAGCGGCGGACGGGUGAGUAAUGUAUGGGAAUCUGCCCGAUGGAGGGGGAUAACUACUGGAAACGGUAGCUAAUACCGCAUACCAUCAGAUGUGCCCAGAUGGGAUUAGCUAGUAGGUGAGGUAAUGGCUCACCUAGGCGACGAUCCCUAGCUGGUCUGAGAGGAUGAUCAGCCACACUGGGACUGAGACACGGUCCAGACUCCUACGGGAGGCAGCAGUGGGGAAUAUUGCACAAGGGGCGCAAGCCUGAUGCAGCCAUGCCGCGGGUAUGAAGAAGGCCUUAGGGUUGUAAAGUACUUGCAGCGGGGAGGCGUUACUGGCAGAAGAAGCACCGGCUAACUCCGUGCCAGCAGCCGCGGUAAUAC